rnacentral:rRNA from 1 species
UACAGAGGUCCCGAGCGUUGUUCGGAUUCACUGGGCGUAAAGGGUGCGCAGGUGGGUUUGCAAGUUCGAUGUGAAAGCCCCGGGCUUAACCCGGGAAUGGCAUUGGAUACUGCAGAUCUGGAGGAUCGGAGGGGGGACUGGAAUUCUUGGUGUAGCAGUGAAAUGCGUAGAUAUCAAGAGGAACACCGGUGGCGAAGGCGGAUCUCUGGGCCUUACCUGACGCUGAGGCGCGAAAGCUAGGGGAGCGAACAGG